rnacentral:lncRNA from 1 species
AUGAUGGAUUACUUAAGACUUUUUAAGAACCACUGCAGUGAUCUCCAAUCCAGGCCUCCUUGUCCUCCAUGCUGUACAGGUGUCAGCCACUCAAGAGGACCCAGCUGUACUGAGCCCAGGAAAAAGGUCCAAAUAGCUCUCUUUGGAACUCUGGUUGUCAUCAUUCCAGAAGUGAAAAAGAGAAUGGAGGAGUACAGAUCAGGAGCCACCACUACCUUUCAGGAUCACCAUGGUACAGAAAAAGACUACCAGUGUCUCCAGUGACACUCUGCAAACUGAAGAAGCAUCAGCUGCUGAAGUGGUUUGUAUCAUAGAAUUUUCUUCUUCUGGCCCUGGAUCCUGUGGAUAUCAGGUGAGUCCUAAUCUGUGCCCCCCACUGUGUUUGUGCACCCCACUAUGUUUGUACACACUUGUACAUGUAUGUACUUCUAAGUGUGCGGGUACACACACAAAACCACAUCUCUGACAACAGAUCCCCAGGUGGAGAGCACUGGGCUCCAAAGCCCUGAGCAGCUUCACAGUGGAGGAGCCCAAAGUAUUCAUAGGUGAUAGAGCCAAAGAGGCUUCAGAGAAUUGGGAGAAAUUCCUGGAUUCUGCUCAAAUGCUCCUGACCAAGGCUACAGGCAUGGGGACAUCUGGGUAUGGAGUAUCCUCCUGGGUACUGAGCUUGGAGUUCGAUUCCAAUUCCAGGAUUUAUUUUAUAUGGUAGCUUUGAGAGCAUUCCCUUCAAUAUAAAGAACCUCCUCCCCUUCCUGAAGGACCAGUCCACUCAGUAAAGACUCAGUGAACAAGAACAAAGUAUAAGGAAUAAAGAUUUCACAUUUUCCUAGUUGAGUUCCUAU